rnacentral:rRNA from 1 species
CUUUAUUGGAGAGUUUGAUCCUGGCUCAGGAUGAACGCUGGCGGCGUGCCUAAUACAUGCAAGUCGAGCGAAUGGAUUGAGAGCUUGCUCUCAAGAAGUUAGCGGCGGACGGGUGAGUAACACGUGGGUAACCUGC